AAUAAAAGGAAGUUAGGAGAAACCGGAAACGUGGGCCAGGCCUUGCUCUGUUGGAGAAGCGGUGUCCCCGCAAAGUCCCUGCUUGCGCUGGUCCCGGCCGGAGCCCAGAUCCCCCAAACGCCUGUCACUUCUCAUCGAGUUGAGGCUCAGGCCCCCACCCGCGCCUCGGUCACAGCGGAGUGAAUCAGCUCGGUGGUGUCUUUGUCAACGGGCGGCCACUGCCGGACUCCACCCGGCAGAAGAUUGUAGAGCUAGCUCACAGCGGGGCCCGGCCGUGCGACAUUUCCCGAAUUCUGCAGACCCAUGCAGAUGCAAAAGUCCAAGUGCUGGACAAUCAAAACGUGUCCAACGGAUGUGUGAGUAAAAUUCUGGGCAGGUAUUACGAGACUGGCUCCAUCAGACCCAGGGCAAUCGGUGGUAGUAAACCGAGAGUAGCGACUCCAGAAGUUGUAAGCAAAAUAGCCCAGUAUAAGCGGGAGUGCCCGUCCAUCUUUGCUUGGGAAAUCCGAGACAGAUUACUGUCCGAGGGGGUCUGUACCA
rnacentral:sRNA from 1 species